rnacentral:rRNA from 1 species
UACGUAGGGGGCAAGCGUUGUCCGGAAUCAUUGGGCGUAAAGCGCGUGUAGGCGGCCCGAUAAGUCCGCUGUGAAAGUCCAGGGCUCAACCCUGGAAUGCCGGUGGAUACUGUCGGGCUCGAGUCCGGAAGAGGCGAGUGGAAUUCCUGGUGUAGCGGUGAAAUGCGCAGAUAUCAGGAGGAACACCGAUGGCGAAGGCAGCUCGCUGGGACGUUACUGACGCUGAGGCGCGAAAGCGUGGGGAGCGAACAGG